rnacentral:rRNA from 1 species
UGCGUAGGCGGAUUAAUAAGUCAGUGGUGAAAACCUUCAGCUUAACUGGAGACUUGCCAUUGAUACUGUUAGUCUUGAGUAUGGUCAAGGUAGGCGGAAUGUGUAAUGUAGCGGUGAAAUGCUUAGAUAUUACACAGAACACCGAUUGCGAAGGCAGCUUACUGGACCAUAACUGACGCCGAGGCACGAAAGCGUGGGUAGCGAACAGGAUUAGAUACCCUGGUAGUCC